AUUAACAAAUAGCAAAUCCGUUGAAAGACGGAGACGCAAAGCCAUGAGUCUAACGCAAAAUAAAUUGCUAUGAUAGUCAGGUUGCCGAU
rnacentral:ncRNA from 1 species